rnacentral:rRNA from 1 species
AGCAGCCGCGGUAAUUCCAGCUCCAAUAGCGUAUAUUAAAGUUGUUGCAGUUAAAAAGCUCGUAGUUGAAUUUCGGGGUUUAUCCGUUGGUCGGGCUUUUGGGUCUGUACUGGCGUGAUGGAUUCCUACCUUCUGAACAACCAGCAUGUCAUUAAUUUGGUGCGUUGGGGAAGCAGGACUGUUACCUUGAAAAAUUAGAGUGCUUAAAGCAGGCUAUUGCCUGAAUACAUUAGCAUGGAAUAAUGAAAUAGGACGCAUGGUUCUAUUUUGUUGGUUUCUAGGAUCACCGUAAUGAUUAAUAGGGAUAGUUGGGGGCAUUAGUAUUCAAUUGUCAGAGGUGAAAUUCUUGGAUUUAUUGAAGACUAACUUCUGCGAAAGCAUUUGCCAAGGAUGUUUUCAUUAAUCAAGAACGAAAGUUAGGGGAUCGAAGACGAUCAGAUACCGUCGUAGUCUUAACCAUAAACUAUGCCGACUAGGGAUCGGACGAUGUUAAUUUUUAAUGACUCGUUCGGCGCCUUAC